UUCUCAUAGACUUCUAUACAACCAGAGGAGUCGCCCCCUGCUGGACACUAGAGAGAAUGCAGCUUUAAGACUCUUUGGUCGCUGCCAUUAAAGAGCUGCAGAAGAAGAAGAGGUGGCUCAGGCAAAGUGUUUCUGUGCCGUUCAGAUUCUUAUUUAUCUUCAUGUUUCACUUCUCUUCUCAUACAAGUUUUCUGUUUUCUGUCUGCAGAACUAACCAGCAGAAGAAGAAUAACAACGAGGAGGUUCAGUCCAACGUCACGGAGGA